rnacentral:rRNA from 1 species
UACGGAGGAUGCGAGCGUUAUCCGGAUUCAUUGGGUUUAAAGGGUGCGCAGGCGGCCUGGCAAGUCAGCGGUGAAAUGCAGGGGCUCAACCCCGGCAGUGCCGUUGAUACUGUUGGGCUGGAAUGCGGUCGAGGCGGGCGGAAUGUGGUGUGUAGCGGUGAAAUGCAUAGAUAUGCCACAGAACGCCGAUAGCGAAGGCAGCUCGCCAGGCCUGCAUUGACGCUCGGGCACGAAAGCGUGGGGAUCGAAC